UUGUUGAUCACAGAGAUUAUUUUUUGCAAUAAUCCAAAAGUCUACUGGAAAAUCCUAUUGGGUUUUUGUCGAGGGAACCAGUGUGAUGCUAACUUCCAGGUUCCGGUACAAAAUGACAUGCUCCGCUCUAUUGGUUGAUUUGUCUGCGUCUCUCCUCCUGUAAACACUUAUUGCCUUUUCAGCAUACGUCUGAAUUGGUUUCAUUUGGUUGUAUAUUGUUAUAUUUGAUUGCACAUUUCCAUUUGGUUGAUGGCAUAUUUAUUUUUACUUAUCCUAUAUUUUGGGUAGAAUUUUAUUUAUAUUUUGCUUCUACAAGAUGAUGCACUUUAAGGACCAGUCUAAUUUGAUGCAAAGAUUUGUACAUUAGCAGGAAUGUAGCACAACAUGGAGGUGAAAGCAGCGGUCUGUUUAUUUAAAUGUGAAAGUGCAAUAAAAAUAUGUUGUCCCUAAAAUCAAUGAAUAAUCAUGAUAAAUAAUCGUGAUCUCAAUAUUGAUCAAAAUAAUCGGAAUUAUCAUUUUGGCCAUAAUUAUGCAACCCUAUGCUCUCCGCAAAUUUAAAAUGGGGACAAUUGGACAACCUGAGAUGAAUUAACACAAAUAUGACCAAGCUUUAAUGUUGUAAAUCAGUUUUUGAGCUAAUCUCCUUCAUAAUGCUGCCCACUCACCAAAGCCCCUGGGUGUACCAGCUUUGGAAAGUGCAGGCCAAAUCUUAGGUGAGGACCUCUCCGCCACCUUCCACCACCAAACCUCUUCACACUUUGUAGACAAGGUAAUGAAUUGUUUAGCAGACUACUGUUAUACAUCUAAAAGAGGUUUUAAAUAAAUUCAAAAUUAUAAAAUAUUAAACAAUUGUUUGUCCGGAGUUGUAAAGCAGAAGCCAGUUUAACUCAAUUAAUUAUAAAAGAAAAAUAAAAGCACAAACUGUGCUUAUGACUCAUUGGUAGGCUUCGUUCACACUGUCAGUGUUUGGGAAUUAACAACCAAAUUUACUUACAGGUGUGAGUCUCGAAAUGUCCUGUUCACACAGCAGCUUACAAUAGCAUUUAGAAUUUUGUCUGUAUGAACAAGUAACCAAAGUCAAGCCUGUAUUCUAUUCAGACUAUUACCUGUAACCAUUGCAACAGUGAUGUAAUAUCAAAGAGGUCGAUGUCCAUAAAACUACAAAAGUCUUUUAAUAAUUGACACGUCUUCAUCUGUCAAAUCUUGAAUCAACAGCAGCUGGUAUCUUUUGUAGAGAGGAGUAUUUGAGUCGCACACAGACCACAAAACUGACUGGAGCAGAGAGAGUGCUUCAAAACAACCAAGCAUAUAGUUUAUCGUGGUUUGCCCUGUCAGACGCUUCGACAGAUGUAUGAGGACUUCAGACAUGUUUCCCCCAGUGUAUAACUUACAUUUGAUGGUCGUAUCCUUAUCUAAUGUUGGAAACAGAUGAAGAGAAUGGGAGCGCUAUAAUUCGGACUAAAAUAUACAUCUUGCCACAAUAUUUAUUGUUCUAGAUUGAAAUAUAUGUUUAAUAUUCUACAUGUUGUAUUUAUGAGAGCAGUAACUGUAAAGAGGGUAUACAUGUAAUAUAAUUACUAGACAUAAUUACUACAAUUAUAUUACAUGUCAUUUAAUUACUAUGUUAGAGCAAUCUUAUUUUUUCUUUUCAUUAGAGCAGAGUAUUUGUCUCAUUGCUUACCUGAUGAAGCCAUUUACCUUUUGUUAUUCUUUUGAGCUGAAUACCUCCCUCUAGUGUUGCAUACCAGUCACUGCUCCUAGAUGAUACCUGUACCGUCCCUUUUAAAAGGAUGUGGUAGACUGAAAAGACUGCCUUUCAGUAAAAGCAAACAGUUUUUAACCGCAUGGCAUGUGGAUGUUUCACUUGAUUUAUUGUUUUAUUACUAAUGCUGUAAAACUUCAUGCAGACUUGUGGAACUUGCGUUUGUCAAAAGGAAUUAUAUUUCUGUUGUGUUGAAGUUGUGUUGUGCUCAAUCUACAUGAAGCGAGUUGACUGGAUACUGGCUGGCACAUACUAUAUUCAUUUACUGUAUUCAGAUAAGUGAAUGUGUGUGUUCUUCAUACCAGUUAACAUUUAGUCUGUGCUUUUGUUUUUCUUUAUCAUUUUUAAUCUUUUUUUUAAUUUUUUUAUUUAUGCUUUAAAACGGUGGGCAAACAGUUGUUUUUGUUUUAGAAUAUAAUGUUUAUAUUUUAACCCUGUUUUUGCAAAUGUGUAGCAUAGCCUAUAUAAAUACAUUCAUUAUAAUUGUUUUGUUUGACUUUAGUUUUCACAUUGUUUGGAGGACAUAUAUCAAUCUGAUUUAAUCAGCACAGCCAUGUAGUAUCUAGUAGAGAGGUUAUUGACUAUGUUGUGUACAUGUUGCUACAUUGUACAUGUUCAUUGUCAUUAAUUUGGGGUUGAUAGCCCAAUGUUGUUUGUGAGAAAUAAGUAUUUUUGCCCACAAUAACUUGUAAAUGUUUUCCUUAUAAAAUGCUCUAAAAAUGCUAAAAUGCUUAUCUUUUUCCAUUUCUUUUCUUCAAACACCUUAGGAGAUGGUUCAUCCUAAAAUGCACAGAUCAUCAUCAUCCCCAUACCUGUGUCCCGUCUGGCAAUCCAUAACCAGCUGUGCACCUUGUCUAUUACAAAUGUUAUGGAUUUUUGUUCUAAUAGAGCUCAUUGUAAUCUUUGAGACUGGUAUUGUGGAGAGGCUGUUAUAUUGUGAAAAAAGUCACAAAGAUCACCCAUCACGGUCUUGUGAAGCAUUUGACCUUAUUUGUGACUAUAUUCACCGUUAUGCUUUCAGUGGUUACUAUAUUACAGUGUCCUUAAUUUUUUACUAUUUAAAAGUUGUUUUAAAGUUUAUUACAGGCUCAAUAUAUUUUCUUUUCUUUCAAUAGAAGAUAAAGGCCUGGUUUCACAGACAGGGUUUACAUUAAGCCAGGGUUAGGCCUUCAAUCAAUUAAGACAAGUAGCUUUUAAGUAGCUUUUAUAAACGUGCCUUAGAAAAAAAAUAUAUUACUGGUGCGCAUCUUGAGACAAAACGAUGGCACAGACAUAUUUUAAGAUAUGUCAGUGCAAGUUACUUUCAGUUAAAACAGCUCAAACAUGCAUUUUAGUCUGGGACUAGGCUUAAGCCUUGUUUGUGAAACCAGGGGAAAGUGUCAUAAUCAAUCCUGUGAUUUGUGCAGUGAUGAGCUGGAGAUCAACAUCAUAGCUGUGCUGUAUUUUAGGUAUAGCCAUUGAACACUUUGUUUUAUAAAUUAAAAAGUUAGUAUCAUUAAUGCUGUGAGGCAAUAUGAAUCAAAUGAAUCAUUUAUAUAGUGUGCUUUCUCCACAGACUUCUUUCUCAUUAAAUUAAACAUCUACAAAGGUUUUCUGUGCCAUUGCUCAUUGGCGUUUGUAAGCAUUAUUAUUUGGAAAACAAAAAUUGUAUGAAAAUGGCUAGGUGCGUAUUACACCAUUUUAAUGCAUGGCAUCAAAAAACCACCUGACACAAAGCAGUGGAUCACCCCUUAUAUAGACCAUGUCUAUGUCAGUAUAAAUUGAAUUGUUAUUCCAAUCACCAAGCUUGUAAUGUUAUACACACAUGAAAUUCUAAGCAGCAGUCAAGCAUGGUAGGCUAAAGAAGGGUCUAAUUUAUUAUGCUCUAUGCAAAAUAUGACACAAUAAAUGUGAACCACACAUAUAACUAUAAUAAGCAGUUAGAAUUGCAGUUAGCAUGAAACCUUAAAUGUACAGCUGGGCUGGCAAUUUGUUUUUGUAUGCAUGUGUAUAAAUAAUAUUUUUUUUUUUCUAUUACAGAGGGAUCAAGCAAACAGAGGGAUAGAUGGACAAGCAAACAGAUUUAAAGGCUGUUAUGAAUGAUGGGUUACAGAAAAGUGUUCCUAUGUUUGUUUAUUAUUAUUUUAAGUUAUAUAUUCUGAUUUGUAACCAAGAUUAUGAAGUCACCUUUUUCUAAACAUUUUAGAGCAUUAUUAAAAAGUCCAUGUACACAGUGCUUAUCCCGAGUGCUUUUUUGAUGUAUUCUAUUAUCCUGCGCAAAGCAAAAAUAUUAAUAUAGUAAGAGGUGUCAUGACCCUCUUCCAGUCCAAGUAUACUGCAAAACCGAGUCAAAAUUCUUGUGUUCUGGAUUUUUUCAGCGAUAUUUGGGAAGUUCUUAUUAACAUUUUUAGUCUUUCAGUGUGUUUAUUUCAGCGCAGGUUCUUUUGAAAUACUGCUCGGCCAAGUCCCUGGAAAACGGAGGAUCUCAGAUCUCAGCUUUGGAGUGUGAUAGGACAAAACUAAGUGUGUGGCCCUCUGAAGCUGGCAAAAGACCUGAUCCUUCCUAGAAGAAAUGGCAUGACCUGUUUAAAAGGAUAGAUAAAUGUCAAGCAAUAUAUAAGAGGUGCAUCACAUACACAUCCCCCCAGACCUACCUGAGAGGGCCAGACCAAAGUGUGCACCCCAGAAACAGCUGCUUCCUCGACCUCCAGGCAUCAUGGAGCCAGCCCAUGUUAAUCCCAUUGGGCCCAGCACUUUUGUCAUGCUUGUUCCCCAUUCUAACCCCACAUUAGAGUGUGUGUUCAAUGUGUUUUUGGUCUCUGGACCCUCAGCCACCACCACUCCCCAGCCCAGCAGCACUCCACACCAGCUUCUGCCGUACAACCACAUGUGCCACGUCAACCAUAUGCCCACAGUAUAUUAGAAGAAUGGAGGCCAAUACUUGCAAAAAACUGUGGUCACUACAGGACAGCAGAGACAUAGCCAAAACAGGGGCACUAUUUACUGUUAAACACCGAGACUUUAACA